CCUACGGGGGGCAGCAGUGAGGAAUAUUGGUCAAUGGACGCAAGCCUGAACCAGCCAAGUAGCGUGAAGGAUGACUGCCCUACGGGUUGUAAACUGCUUUUAUAAAGGAAUAAAGUGAGGCACGUGUGCCUUUUUGUAUGUACUUUAUGAAUAAGGAUCGGCUAACUCCGUGCCAGCAGCCGCGGUAAUACGGAGGAUCCGAGCGUUAUCCGGAUUUAUUGGGUUUAAAGGGAGCGUAGACGGGUUGUUAAGUCAGUUGUGAAAGGUUGCGGCUCAACCGUAAAAUUGCAAUUGAAACUGGCAGGCUUGAGUACAGUUGAGGUAGGCGGAAUUCGUGGUGUAGCGGUGAAAUGCUUAGAUAUCACGAAGAACUCCGAUUGCGAAGGCAGCUUACUAAACUGCCACUGACAUUGAGGCUCGAAAGUGUGGGUAUCAAACAGGAUUAGAUACCCCAGUAGUC
rnacentral:rRNA from 1 species